rnacentral:lncRNA from 1 species
CAUCAGAAAUAUUAACUAAACAUCAAUCAAAAAAUCUAAUUUUGACAUAAUAUGAACUGGAUCUAAUCCAUAUCACAAUAAUAACAUGAUAUUACUGUUGGGUUUCGGUGACGCAGCAAAAUAUAAAUUUCAAAAAAUUUUAAAAAUUUUUACAAGCAUUCAACUAUUAAAAAUAAGUUUAACAAUUAAACUAGACCAUCGAAACACAAAAAUCCUAGGAACACCUUGAUGAUUACAAUCAAACAACAUUAACAUGUAAAACAAGAAGAGAUCAGAAGCCAUGUACCAUCAUGAAGAUCAUAAACUGAUAAUCUUAAGAUCUCUACAAGACUCUAAAGUAGAAGUCCUCCAACAAUGAUCCACACAGGACUGAUCAAAGACCUUCCCAAUGUGACGUAGUACUGC